UACGGAAGGCAGCAGGGGGAAUAUUGCACAAUGGGCGAAAGCCUGAUGCAGCUAUGCCGCGUGUAUGAAGAAGGCCUUAGGGUUGUAAAGUACUUUCAUCGGGGAGGAAAAAACAAAACUAAUAAUUUUAUUUCUUGACGUUACCCGAAAAAGAAGCACCGGCUAACUCCGUGCCAGCAGCCGCGGUAAUACGGAGGGUGCUAGCGUUAAUCAGAAUUACUGGGCGUAAAGAGCACGUAGGUGGUUUUUUAAGUCAGAUGUGAAAUCCCUGGGCUUAACCUAGGAACUGCAUUUUGAAACUGAAAUACUAGAGUAUCGUAGAGGGAGGUAGAAUUCUAGGUGUAGCGGUGAAAUGCGUAGAUAUCUGGAGGAAUACCUGUGGCGAAAGCGGCCUCCUAAACGAAUACUGACACUGAGGGUGCGAAAAGCGUGGGGAGCAAAACAGGGAUUAGAUACC
rnacentral:rRNA from 1 species